rnacentral:rRNA from 1 species
CAGCCGCCGCGGUAAUACGGAGGAUCCAAGCGUUAUCCGGAUUUAUUGGGUUUAAAGGGUGCGUAGGCGGCUUAUUAAGUCAGGGGUGAAAGACGGUGGCUCAACCAUCGCAGUGCCUUUGAUACUGAUGAGCUUGAAUAUACUUGAGGUAGGCGGAAUGUGACAAGUAGCGGCGAAAUGCAUAGAUAUGUCACAGAACACCGAUUGCGAAGGCAGCUUACCAAGGUAUGAUUGACGCUGAGGCACGAAAGCGUGGGGAUCAAACAGGAUUAGAUACCCUGGUAGUCCACGCCCUAAACGAUGAAUACUCGAUGUUGGCGAUAUACAGUCAGCGUCCAAGCGAAAGCGUUAAGUAUUCCACCUGGGGAGUACGGCCGCAAGGUUGAAACUUAAAGGAAUUGGCGGG